rnacentral:rRNA from 1 species
UACGAAGGGGGCUAGCGGUGUUCGGAAUUACUGGGCGUAAAGCGUGCGCAGGCGGCUUCUCAAGUCAGGGGUGAAAGCCCAGAGCUCAACUCUGGAAUUGCCUUUGAGACUGAGUGGCUUGAGUACGGGAGAGGUGAUUGGAAUUCCCAGUGUAGAGGUGAAAUUCGUAGAUAUUCGCAAGAACACCAGUGGCGAAGGCGGCUCACUGGCCCGAUACUGACGCUGAGGCACGAAAGCGUGGGGAGCAAACAGG